GGCUGAUUUUCAAAAGGACUUUUCACCUUUUAAGAAAAAGAGAGAGCAAAGAUACAGGUUCACAGUUUUCAUUCUGUCUCUGGGGAGCAUAAUUUUCAUGAUAAUGGCACCUAUUAUGAUUUCUUUGAUAAAAUUAUUGCAUUCUGAACGUAUCAUUCCUGUAAAUGGCAUCAAAAUGAAAAUAAAGCAUGAAGAACCCCCUGGUUCUGUGGUACAGAGUUGGUCAACUUGUCAUGUUCAGCAAACCCAGGACUGAAGAGCAUAUCCUUUGAACAGAAGUUUCCCAUCUUGACUGAAAGGCUUAUUUAGAGCUAUUUCCAGUGUUUACCAUCAAGUUUGCUAGCUCUAGACCCCAGCCGGUCCCUCCCGAUUUGCCCAGAGUAUACAGUAACUGUCGUGGGCCUGUGCAUAGACACCAAAAGGUGCUCUUAACAAGAACUACGAGAUGGUGUAUCUAUGACUUCAAGAAGCAAAAGGAACAAGAGCGCUAUUUUCUUUGUAUCCGUAUACCAAAGUAUGGUAUUUAGUCAGAACUGUACAAAUAUCAUUUCUCUGUUUAAUAGUGUA